ACKGCUCAGUAACACGUGGAUAACCUACCCUUGGGUCGGGGAUAAACCCGGGAAACUGGGUAUAAUGCCCGAUAGAUCUGGAAGGCUGGAAUGCGUCCAGGUUCAAAGCUCCGGCGCCCAAGGAUGGGUCUGCGGCCUAUCAGGUUGUAGUGGGUGUAAUGUACCUACUAGCCUAAAACGGGUACGGGUUGUGAGAGCAAGGGCCCGGAGAUGGAUUCUGAGACACGAAUCCAGGCCCUACGGGGUGCAGCAGGCGCGAAAACUUUACAAUGCUGGAAACAGCGAUAAGGGGACCUCGAGUGCCAGGUUACAAAUCUGGCUGUCGUAAUGCCUAAAAAGCAUUUCAUAGCAAGGGCCGGGCAAGACCGGUGCCAGCCGCCGCGGUAACACCCGCGCCCCGAGUGGUGGUCGAUAUUAUUGAGCCUAAAACGUCCGUAGCCGGUCUUCUAAAUCCUUGGGUAAAUCGGGCAGCUUAACUGUCCGAAGUCCGGGGAGACUGGGAGACUUGGGACCGGGAGAGGUCAGAGGUACUUCUGGGGUAGGGGUAAAAUCCUGUAAUCCUGGAAGGACCACCGGUGGCGAAGGCGUCUGACUAGAACGGAUCCGACGGUGAGGGACGAAGCCCUGGGGCGCAAACGGGAUUAGAUACCCCGGUAGUCCAGGGCGUAAACGCUGCGGGCUUGGUGUUGGGGGUCCUUAGUGGGCGCCCAGGGCCGGAGAGAAGUUGUUAAGCCUGCUGCUUGGGGAGUAUGUCCGCAAGGAUGAAACUUAAAGGAAUUGGCGGGGGAGCAC
rnacentral:rRNA from 1 species